rnacentral:tRNA from 1 species
GCGGUUGUGGCGGAAUGGCAGACGCGCUACCUUGAGGGGGUAGUGUCCAACGGACGUGUGGGUUCAAAUCCCAUCAACCGCACCA